GACGAACGCUGGCGGCGUGCCUAAUACAUGCAAGUAGAACGCUGAAGGAGGAGCUUGCUUCUCUGGAUGAGUUGCGAACGGGUGAGUAACGCGUAGGUAACCUGCCUGGUAGCGGGGAUAACUAUUGGAAACGAUAGCUAAUACCGCAUAAUAUUGACUAUUGCAUGAUAGUCAGUUGAAAGGUGCAACUGCACCACUACCAGAUGGACCUGCGUUGUAUUAGCUAGUUGGUGGGGUAACGGCUCACCAAGGCGACGAUACAUAGCCGACCUGAGAGGGUGAUCAGCCACACUGGGACGGAGACACGGCCCAGACGCCUACGGGAGGCAGCAGUAGGGAAUCGUCGGCAAGGGACGGAAGUCUGACCGAGCAACGCCGCGGGAGUGAAGAAGGUUUUCGGAUCGUAAAGCUCGGUUGUAAGAGAAGAACGAGUGUGAGAGUGGAAAGCUCACACUGUGACGGUAACUUACCAGAAAGGGACGGCUAACUACGUG
rnacentral:rRNA from 1 species